rnacentral:tRNA from 1 species
CCCCUGGAGGACUAGUGGUUAGGUCACGGCGCUCUCACCGCCGCAGCCCUGGUUCAAUUCCCGGCCAAGGAA